GACGAACGCUGGCGGCGUGCUUAACACAUGCAAGUCGAACGGAAAGGCCCUGCUUUUGUGGGGGGCUCGAGUGGCGAACGGGUGAGUAACACGUGAGUAACCUGCCCGUGACUUUGGGAUAACUUCAGGAAACUGGGGCUAAUACCGGAUAGGAGCUCCUGCUGCAUGGUGGGGGUUGGAAAGUUUCGGCGGUUGGGGAUGGACUCGCGGCUUAUCAGCUUGUUGGUGGGGUAGUGGCUUACCAAGGCUUUGACGGGUAGCCGGCCUGAGAGGGUGACCGGCCACAUUGGGACUGAGAUACGGCCCAGACUCCUACGGGAGGCAGCAGUGGGGAAUAUUGCACAAUGGGCGGAAGCCUGAUGCAGCAACGCCGCGUGCGGGAUGACGGCCUUCGGGUUGUAAACCGCUUUCGCCUGUGACGAAGCGUGAGUGACGGUAAUGGGUAAAGAAGCACCGGCUAACUACGUG
rnacentral:rRNA from 1 species